rnacentral:lncRNA from 1 species
UUUUUUUUUUUUUUUUUUUUUUUUUGGCCCAGAAUGAAGUGACCAUAGCCAAGUUGUGUACCUCAGUCUUUAGUUUCCAAGCGGCUCUCUUGCUCAAUACAAUGUGCAUUUCAAAAUAACACUGUAGAGUUGACAGAACUGGUUCAUGUGUUAUGAGAGAGGAAAAGAGAGGAAAGAACAAAACAAAACAAAACACCACAAACCAAAAACAUCUGGGCUAGCCAGGCAUGAUUGCAAUGUCUACAGGCCCAGUUCAUGAGAGGCAGAGACAGGAAGACCGCCGAAAGGUCAAGGAUAGCAUGGUCUACGUAUCGAGACUCCAGCCAGGGCUACGGUCCCAAGAUCCUAGGUUUUGGAUUUUGGGCUUUGGUUUUUGAGACAGGGUUUCUCUGUGUAGCCCUGGCUGUCCUGGAACUCGCUCUGUAGACCAGGCUGGCCUCAAACUUAGAGAUCUGCCUGACUCUGCCUUUGAGGGCUGGGACGAAUGCCACCACUGCCCAACUAAGAUUCCAUUAAAAAAAAAAAAAGUUCAAGAUAAUUAAGAGUUGCCAGCUCGUUAAAGCUAAGUAGAAGCAGUCUCAGGCCUGCUGCUUGAGGCUGUUCUUGGCUUGGACCUGAAAUCUGCCCCCAACAGUGUCCAAGUGCACAUGACUUUGAGCCAUCUCCAGAGAAGGAAGUGAAAAUUGUGGCUCCCCAGUCGAUUGGGACACAGUCUCUCUUUGUCUAGGUAACACAUGGUGACACAUAGCAUUGAACUCUCCACUCUGAGGGUGGGUUUCCCUCCCCCUGCCUCUUCUGGGUUGGUCACCCCAUAGGACAGCCACAGGACAGUCACUAGCACCUACUGGAAACCUCUUUGUGGGAACAUGAAGAAAGAGCCUUUGGGAGAUUCCUGGCUUUCCAUUAGGGCUGAAAGUACAACGGUUCUUGGUUGGCUUUGCCUCGUGUUUAUAAAACUAGCUACUAUUCUUCAGGUAAAAUACCGAUGUUGUGGAAAAGCCAACCCCGUGGCUGCCCGUGAGUAGGGGGUGGGGUUGGGAAUCCUGGAUAGUGUUCUAUCCAUGGAAAGUGGUGGAAUAGGAAUUAAGGGUGUUCCCCCCCCCCCCAACCUCUUCCUCAGACCCAGCCACUUUCUAUGACUUAUAAACAUCCAGGUAAAAAUUACAAACAUAAAAAUGGUUUCUCUUCUCAAUCUUCUAAAGUCUGCCUGCCUUUUCCAGGGGUAGGUCUGUUUCUUUGCUGUUCUAUUGUCUUGAGAGCACAGACUAACACUUACCAAAUGAGGGAACUCUUGGCCCAUACUAAGGCUCUUCUGGGCUCCAGCACUCUUAAGUUAUUUUAAGAAUUCUCACUUGGCCUUUAGCACACCCGCCACCCCCAAGUGGGUGUGGAUAAUGCCAUGGCCAGCAGGGGGCACUGUUGAGGCGGGUGCCUUUCCACCUUAAGUUGCUUAUAGUAUUUAAGAUGCUAAAUGUUUUAAUCAAGAGAAGCACUGAUCUUAUAAUACGAGGAUAAGAGAUUUUCUCACAGGAAAUUGUCUUUUUCAUAAUUCUUUUACAGGCUUUGUCCUGAUCGUAGCAUAGAGAGAAUAGCUGGAUAUUUAACUUGUAUUCCAUUUUCCUCUGCCAGCGUUAGGUUAACUCCGUAAAAAGUGAUUCAGUGGACCGAAGAGGCUCAGAGGGCAGGGGAUGGUGGGGUGAGGCAGAGCACUGUCACCUGCCAGGCAUGGGAGGUCCUGCCAUCCGGGAGGAAAAGGAAAGUUUAGCCUCUAGUCUACCACCAGUGUUAACGCACUCUAAAGUUGUAACCAAAAUAAAUGUCUUACAUU